rnacentral:rRNA from 1 species
GAUGAACGCUGACAGAAUGCUUAACACAUGCAAGUCGGUGGCGGACGGGUGAGUAAUGUCUGGGAAACUGCCUGAUGGAGGGGGAUAACUACUGGAAACGGUAGCUAAUACCGCAUACCAUCAGAUGUGCCCAGAUGGGAUUAGCUAGUAGGUGGGGUAACGGCUCACCUAGGCGACGAUCCCUAGCUGGUCUGAGAGGAUGACCAGCCACACUGGAACUGAGACACGGUCCAGACUCCUACGGGAGGCAGCAGUGGGGAAUAUUGCACAAUGGGCGCAAGCCUGAUGCAGCCAUGCCGCGUGUGUGAAGAAGGCCUUCGGGUUGUAAAGCACUUUCAGCGGGGAGGCGUUACCCGCAGAAGAAGCACCGGCUAACUCCGUGCCAGCAGCCGCGGUAAUAC